rnacentral:rRNA from 1 species
AUUGAACGCUGGCGGCAGGCCUAACACAUGCAAGUCGAACGAGGGGCGGACGGGCGAGUAAUGUCUGCAAAACUGCGCGACGGAGGGGUAAAACUAGUGGAAACGGUAGAUAAUACCGCAAAACAUCGUGUGUGCCCAGAUGGGUUUAGCUAGUAGGUGGGGUAACGGCUCACCUGGGCGACGAUCCCUAGCUGGUCUGAGAGGAUGACCAGCCACACUGGAACUGAGACACGGUCCAGACUCCUACGGGAGGCAGCAGUGGGGAAUAUUGCACAAUGGGCGCAAGCCUGAUGCAGCCAUGCCGCGUGUAUGAAGAAGGCCUUCGGGUUGUAAAGUACUUUCAGCGAGGAGGCGUUACUCGCAGAAGAAGCACCGGCUAACUCCGUGCCAGCAGCCGCGGUAAUAC